UACGAAGGGGGCUAGCGUUGUUCGGAAUUAUUGGGCGUAAAGAGCUCGUAGGCGGUGUGUCACGUCGGCCGUGAAAACCUGCAGCUUAACUGUGGGCGUGCGGUCGAUACGGGCAUCACUGGAGUUCGGCAGGGGAGACUGGAAUUCCUGGUGUAGCGGUGAAAUGCGCAGAUAUCAGGAGGAACACCGGUGGCGAAGGCGGGUCUCUGGGCCGAUACUGACGCUGAGGAGCGAAAGCGUGGGGAGCAAACAGG
rnacentral:rRNA from 1 species